rnacentral:tRNA from 1 species
CAAAGUGUAGCUUAAACAAAGCAUCUGGCCUACACCCAGAAGAUUUCACAUCUAAUGACCACUUUGA